rnacentral:rRNA from 1 species
UACGUAGGGUGCGAGCGUUAAUCGGAAUUACUGGGCUUAAAGCGUGCGUCGGCGGUUAGUUAAGUCAGAUGUGAAAGCCCCGGGCUCAACCUGGGAACUGCAUUUGAAACUGGCGGGCUUGAGUAUGGCAGAGGGGGGUGGAAUUCCGCGUGUAGCAGUGAAAUGCGUAGAGAUGCGGAGGAACACCGAUGGCGAAGGCAGCCCCCUGGGCCAAUACUGACGCUCAGGCACGAAAGCGUGGGGAGCAAACAGG